rnacentral:rRNA from 1 species
GGGGGCAACCCUGAUCCAGCCAUUCCGCGUGAGUGAAGAAGGCCUUCGGGUUGUAAAGCUCUUUCAGCAGGAACGAAACGGUGGUCUCUAAUACGGACUACUAAUGACGGUACCUGAAGAAGAAGCACCGGCUAACUACGUGCCAGCAGCCGCGGUAAUACGUAGGGUGCGAGCGUUAAUCGGAAUUACUGGGCGUAAAGCGUGCGCAGGCGGUUAUAUAAGACAGAUGUGAAAUCCCCGGGCUCAACCUGGGAACUGCGUUUGUGACUGUAUAACUUGAGUGUGGCAGAGGGGGGUGGAAUUCCACGUGUAGCAGUGAAAUGCGUAGAGAUGUGGAGGAACACCGAUGGCGAAGGCAGCCCCCUGGGUCAACACUGACGCUCAUGCACGAAAGCGUGGGGAGCAAACAGGAUUAGAUACCCUGGUAGUCCACGCCCUAAACGAUGCGAACUAGGUGUUGGGGAAGGAGACUUUCUUAGUACCGCAGCUAACGCGUGAAGUUCGCCGCCUGGGGAGUACGGUCGCAAGAUUAAAACUCAAAGGAAUUGACGGGGACCCGCACAAGCGGNGGAUUAUGUGGAUUAAUUCGAUGCAACGCGAAAAACCUUACCUACCCUUGACAUGUGCCGGACCCGCGAAGC